rnacentral:rRNA from 1 species
AGUCGAGCGAUGAAGCUUCCUUCGGGAAGUGGAUUAGCGGCGGACGGGUGAGUAACACGUGGGCAACCUGCCUCAAAGAGGGGAAUAGCCCUCCGAAAGGAGGAUUAAUACCGCAUAAAGUUAGAGUUUCGCAUGAAACUUUAACCAAAGGAGUAAUCCGCUUUGAGAUGGGCCCGCGUCCCAUUAGCUAGUUGGUAAGGUAAUGGCUUACCAAGGCAACGAUGGGUAGCCGACCUGAGAGGGUGAUCGGCCACAUUGGAACUGAGACACGGUCCAGACUCCUACGGGAGGCAGCAGUGGGGAAUAUUGCGCAAUGGGGGAAACCCUGACGCAGCAACGCCGCGUGGGUGAUGAAGGUUUUCGGAUCGUAAAACCCUGUUUUCUGGGACGAUAAUGACGGUACCAGAUGAGGAAGCCACGGCUAACUACGUGCCAGCAGCCGCGGUAAUACGUAGGUGGCAAGCGUUGUCCGGAUUUACUGGGCGUAAAGGGUGCGUAGGCGGAUGCUUAAGUGAGAUGUGAAAUACCUAGGCUUAACUUAGGGGCUGCAUUUCAAACUGGGCAUCUAGAGUACAGGAGAGGGAAACGGAAUUCCUAGUGUAGCGGUGAAAUGCGUAGAGAUUAGGAAGAACACCAGUGGCGAAGGCGGUUUCCUGGACUGUAACUGACGCUGAGGCACGAAAGCGUGGGUAGCAAACAGGAUUAGAUACCCUGGUAGUCCACGCCGUAAACGAUGAAUACUAGGUGUAGGAGGGUCCAACCUUCUGUGCCGCAGUUAACACAUUAAGUAUUCCGCCUGGGGAGUACGGUCGCAAGACUAAAACUCAAAGGAAUUGACGGGGGCCCGCACAAGCAGCGGAGCAUGUGGUUUAAUUCGAAGCAACGCGAAGAACCUUACCUGGACUUGACAUCCCCUGAAUUACUCGUAACUGAGGAAAUCUCUUCGGAGACAGGGAGACAGGUGGUGCAUGUUGUCGUCAGCUCGUGUCGUGAGAUGUUGGGUAAGUCCCGCAACGAGCGCAACCCUAUAUAGUGCUACAUAGUGAGCACUCUAUGAGACUGCCCGUGACGGGAGAGGUGGGAUGACGUCAAUCAUCAUGCC